ensembl:lncRNA
CCUCUUUGGAGCCUGAGCACUUUUACGCUCAAAACAGAAGCAGGCCAUCUAUCCCCUUUAAUAUUUAGCUCCAUCAGUGCUAAUAUGGCAUCAUGGCUGUAUUGAUAGGUUCUCACAUAAAGGCUCCAUUUAUUGCUCCGUGACAUUUUUUGAUGGUGGGAAUUAAUUAUUCACAGGUUAGGAUUAAGGUAGACACACGCUCAGGGAGAUAGGCUGUGGCUACUGCUGGAGGGUCAAUAAACUCUCCCAACAAACAAAAUACAAAGCAGAGCUGUUCAGGGUCGAUUACAGAAAUAGAAGGGUUUUUUUUUAAAAAAAAAAUGAAAAAGAUUUAAUAAAUGAAACCGUGACAACAGUUAUGUUUGUUGGCAUAAAGGGGGGUGGGAAGUGUAGGACUGCAGGCUUUGACAAACGGCUGUGUGGACAUUUCAACGUGCAAUACCCCGGGAAGGAGCAGCAGAGCGGUGCGCAGAGAGCCAAGGCAUUCGCCGUCUCCAAGUCUCUCUCACACUCUGUAAACACAACCAGCCCGGCAGACUGCUAUUGAAGACUGAUAUUUUCAUAAGCUAAAUAUUGUCGUUCACAUUGAUUUGUGCACUAACGCUUGACUUUUUUUUCAUCCUCCUUCUUUGGACAACCAUGGAAAAUAUGUGAUUUGCCCCGGAGGAGAGUGAUGUAAACACCCGAAGAGCGUGUGAAAAUAGGAGAAGCUAAUUAUGCGUGUCCAAUGUACGGCUCCACAGACACACAUCCUUCCCUAUAAAACUUGCGGCAAUGACUCCCAACGACGUGAAAUUUUAAGCUCUUUUCUUCUGUGAUAAAUUUACUCGAGUAAUUAAUGAACGCUAUAAACACGAGGCUUCAUAAGUGACAAUAUUUAGGUUAUUAAAUCUGCUUAAUAACAACUUUUUUUUUAUGUGGCAUUACACAAGUCGGUGUUUAAUUUUCCAAUUUCAUUUUAAUCAUCAUUCACUCAAUGGUUAAUUAAAAUUAAUUUUCCUCAUAAACAAGACAUGUGCCAACCUAAACUCCCCAGCUUAUAACCUGACGGCGUUUACAAGGAAGAUACCUCCAGGAGGACACCUAACACAGACAAUUAGACUUUUUUAAGUAGUUUUAUGUUUCUUCACGUUAAAGCUCUUUUCAGGUGCACAACUCCCGCGCGUUUGAGAGAGAAAAGAAAAUCAGUAGAUGGCAUUAACAGGCGGUAAAAUUUCAUCUGGUGGUGUCAAAUUGAGGUCAGUUUAGGGUUAAAGCUCUCGGUGUCCGUGUGGGACAUGGCCAGCUGCGUUUGGAUUCAUUAGGGGGGGGAGAGGAUCCAUUUCAAGGAAAACACUACUGGGACAGUCACCAGGCUAAAGAUCCACUGCAUGUCACAUCCUAAGGUGCACCAGGACCGCCUGCGCGCCACCCGAGCACCAGCACUCCAAGUCCCACUCCUCUGUUUACUCUUUGCGGGACUUACAAUCCCUCUCCCCCUCUCCUGCCCUGCAGGGCUCGGUUGUUCACACACACAAGCCUGUUGCUAAAUAUGGAGAGAAAUGCAUUGUUGAUUUAAUUCCCUCAAAAAGAUCACUGAUAUGAAACGAGCUUCAAAUCCUCUUAGUGACCUUAAACACUCCUGAAGAAACAAUUGGCCCUCAACCGCAGGAACAAAUAAAAUCGCCCUAAUCUUGUUUGUAACUUUGUUCUUUCUUUGGCCCACUUCAGUAUGAGAUUAUGCAAAUUAGGAAAGCUAAUGUAUAGAGAGGUUGAGAUAAGACAGGCUCAUGGACUGACUGCAGGAGAAGCGCGGAAAAUAAAAACCUUGCAGUGUCUUUUUGUUUGUUUGCACCAGUUCCUUAAAUUUAUAAUAAUAAAAAAAUAAUCACGUAAUUUGGCAGAAUUUUACUUCAGCAUUUAAUUUUGCGCUCAAUAAAAACAAGGCAGUUCGACAUUUUCCCGGUGUCUCCAAUUCCACAGAAGACUGUUAAUUAAUCCAUAAUUACCAGGUCCAUAUACUUUGCCAUUAUUUAUUUAUUUAUUACAUAUUUUAUAUUAUUUUAUUCAUGAUUUGUUUAGGAUAUUUUGGCCCGCUUUUUUGUUUCCUUCUUUCACAAAGCAUUACCUCAGUCCUCUGCGUCUGAACUCUUUUUGACCCCGGAGUGAAAUGUGACUAUAGGGUUUCAGAAAGCGGAGUGAGCAACUCAAAUACUUGUAAAAGUUUCGCGACUAACUGUAAAUUCUUCAGCUCCAAAGCCUCAUUUUCCCCUCCACCGAUUCUCGGAGCCUGGUGUCAGAGGGUUAGUAAAGGGUGGAGGGGAGAGAGAGGAAGAGAGAGAGAGAGAGAGGAGACCAAGACAAAACGUAACCGCGGCUUUCCCCCCUCCUCACGGGCUCGGCAUGAAAUAUGCUGCCCUCUAGCGACACCUGGCGGCCACAGCGAAAUCCGAGCCGUCGGAAGGUUUGCCACAAACGCGAGAAGGCCCACAAAAAUACGCCAAACUUAAUUAAGCACAUUAACACGAAAUAAAUCCCCAGAAAAAUGACCACGCAAAUGUGUUUUAAAAUUAAAAUUAAAGGUAGCUCCAUCAAACUGUUUAUUCUUGAGGUACCGGAGGCCAUAAAUCAAAAACUGAACUUUAUAAAAUGCCAUUUUUUUUGUUUUAGUGAUUUAAUCUAAAUAGUGCACGCAUUUUCUUUUUUUAUAACCUGCCAUUUGUUUUCUUGUGGUGCUUCAAAAAUAAAUUAAGUUCAAAUGUCUGCGUCCUUUAUAUUUAAUUCUAUUAUAAGACGGUCACUGUGGGACAGAAAACAGGGGAAAAAAGUUGGCCUUUAUCAGCCUUAGCCUGCAUUUAAUUUAAGGCACCGCGUAUAUUUUGAGUUAUCGAGUUUAUCUGAUUUUUUAUUUGUUUCUUUUUUUUUAGCCAAUUUUGAAAUUAACUCUGCAGCCACAUAAAUCUAAAUAAACUGGACAAAGAAAACCAACAGCACGUAAUAAGAACGCUCAUGUGGUUAUUUUAAUAAUAAUAGAAUCUGAAAAUCCGUUUUUUUUCUGCUAUAAGCGAUUUUGAAAUAAACUAAUAAACAAAUUCAACGUUUUACAGGCUUUUACGCAAGAGAGGCACAAAAAAGUCAGCAAAUCGAUUCAUAUCACGAUUCUGGAAACAACCUCAGCACCUAAAAAACUAUUUAUAAAAUAUUAAUGCUGGAAAAUGAUUUAUUUUUCAUUCUUCUUUUUGCAGGAAAAAGAUCUUUCACGUAUAAAAUUAUAUAUUGACCUAUUUCCCCAACGCAUUUUCCCCAUACAUGUAUGUAUAAAUACUUUUUUCCCCCUUUCCCCCCCCCUUGUCAAACUACACAAACUACUAAUAUUUCCCCUCCUCCGUGCGUGCAGCCGCUCUGCAGAGAGAGUCUCAGCUCUGCUCGGCUGUGACACAGUUUGAGCAGGUCACCGCCGAGAUUAGAGCCCGUCGUUAACGCCUGCUCGGAUACACCAAAUGCUGAUUUAAUGAGCUUGCAUUGGGUGUUUGUCCCAGAAUACCUGGUGUGCAUGCGUUAGUAACGCCACAGACCGUAAUCCCUGUGUUUUCCCUUGAACACGUGGCUUUAGGGACAACCUAAAAACACUGCAAAGAUUUGACUAUGAUUUCUUUUUCAUUUCUUUCAUUUUAUUUUAUUUCAGUCAGCCUGAACAGGUCGAAGCCUCUAAGUCCCGUAUCCAGCCACAUUACCACAUGUAAUUGAGAGAAGUUUAAGUGGAGGCCGGGAAACCGAGGAGUUAAUAGCGGUGACCCUCUUGCUGUGCCUCUGUCGCUCAUCAUUUAUCAGGCUUAAGGGGCUUAAACAGGCGACGCAGACCCACCUUUUAUUACAUAUCAAACCCUCUCUCCCUUAUCUGCAUUAUAGGAAAUACAUGCAUCGUUGGCCGUUAUGCGGAUUUGGAAAUAGAAACACGUCCAAUAAAGUCGCCCUCCUCCGCUGAUCAGAGGAAACGUGUCUUUAGGCGCCACAGAGACACCCCAGCGGUUUAAGUCUUUAUUAAAUUAUCUUAAUUCCCCUCUCCACUUUGAAACGAAUAUAAAUGUGGCUCUUCUGUUGUUUGUCCAGCGCGGAAGAGAGGAAACGUGAGUGCGGAGGUCCGCCACGGUUCAAGUAUGAUUAGGAGGCGAAUAAAACUGUAAAUGCAGACUCCAAGCGCCUGCAAACCUGCCCAGAGCGGAUAUAACGCGCACGACGUUAAAACUCGAGUGUGGCAGAUUUUUUUUCUUUUCCUUUUUUAUUCAAAAUAUCAAAAUCUAAAUAUUACAAAUAUAAAUAUAUAUGUGUGUGUGUGUGUGUGUGUGUGUGUAUGUAUGUACACAGGUGGCAGCUGCUUUAUUGGAAAAAUUAAUUAAAGGUGAGAAAAAGGCAAAAAACUUCCCCAAGACAAGAUAUAUUUAGAGGCUCACGUGACUUCCGUCAUUCUUCUUUAUUUAUAGCGAGCUUUAAUGAAUUAGUACACAGGCAGACCAUUACAAUACACGCUCCCUUUAUCCGGUCACGGCUUUUCUUGAGAUUUGUGUGCGCGUGUGUGUAGAAAAAAAAUGCAUUUAUUACUCAGAAUUCUAUCGAUAAAAUUCCUCUUUAAUAUUCCGGUAUCCCUAUAGGAAAAGGGAUUUAUUAUUUUAUUUUUAUUUAUUUUUAUUUAUUGCUGGCACAGGCUUUCAGUUAAACUUCAGGUCCAUGCCUCAGUUGUCUGCUGGUUUCCUCUGAGGAGAGCUCAGUUAGUCAGCCUGAACGCAGCUGCAUUCACGUGGUGCGACGGGGUUUGAUAUUCCAGUCACACAACAGAGUAAACACUGCUCUCUUAUUCAAUAAACAUCAUUGAUAAGGACCCCAUAUCAAAGCCACUUGAAAUACUGAACCUAAGCAUCAGCAUUUAUUUUUUACUUUAUUAAUGAAGACAUUGCAUUUAUUGUUGUUUACACAUAUAUUUUAGCCUGUAUCAUAAAUAGCCUUUAUUUAAAAAAUUGUUUUGUUUUUUUGUCUGAAAAUCAAUGUAUUGUGUAUUUUGUGAUUCUGAUGCCUUAUAUAUAAAUUCUUGAAUCUAAAUGCAAUUAAAAUGUUUCAAAACUCUCA